AUUGAACGCUGGCGGCAGGCCUAACACAUGCAGGUCGAGCGGAUGAAGGGAGCUUGCUCCUGGAUUCAGCGGCGGACGGGUGAGUAAUGCCUAGGAAUCUGCCUGGUAGUGGGGGAUAACGUCCGGAAACGGGCGCUAAUACCGCAUACGUCCUGAGGGAGAAAGUGGGGGAUCUUCGGACCUCACGCUAUCAGAUGAGCCUAGGUCGGAUUAGCUAGUUGGUGGGGUAAAGGCCUACCAAGGCGACUAUCCGUAACUGGUCUGAGAGGAUGAUCAGUCACACUGGAACUGAGACACGGUCCAGACUCCUACGGGAGGCAGCAGUGGGGAAUAUUGGACAAUGGGCGAAAGCCUGAUCCAGCAAUGCCGCGUGUGUGAAGAAGGUCUUCGGAUUGUAAAGCACUUUAAGUUGGGAGGAAGGGCAGUAAGUUAAUACCUUGCUGUUUUGACGUUACCAACAGAAUAAGCACCGGCUAACUUCGUG
rnacentral:rRNA from 1 species